CCUACGGGGGGCAGCAGUGAGGAAUAUUGGUCAAUGGACGAGAGUCUGAACCAGCCAAGUAGCGUGAAGGAUGACUGCCCUAUGGGUUGUAAACUUCUUUUAUAUGGGAAUAAAAUGUUCCACGUGUGGGAUUUUGUAUGUACCAUAUGAAUAAGGUUCGGCUAACUCCGUGCCAGCAGCCGCGGUAAUACGGAGGAUCCGCGCGUUAUCCGGAUUUAUUGGGUUUAAAGGGAGCGUAGGUGGAUUGUUAAGUCAGUUGUGAAAGUUUGCGGCUCAACCGUAAAAUUGCAGUUGAAACUGGCAGUCUUGAGUACAGUAGAGGUGGGCGGAAUUCGUGGUGUAGCGGUGAAAUGCUUAGAUAUCACGAAGAACUCCGAUUGCGAAGGCAGUUCACUGGACUGCAACUGACACUGAGGCUCGAAAGUGUGGGUAUCAAACAGGAUUAGAUACCCGAGUAGUC
rnacentral:rRNA from 1 species